rnacentral:rRNA from 1 species
CCUACGGGAGGCAGCAGUGAGGAAUAUUGGUCAAUGGGCGGGAGCCUGAACCAGCCAUGCCGCGUGAAGGCGAGUGCCCUACGGGCGUUAAACUUCUUUUGUGCGGGAGCAAUAAGGGCCACGUGUGGCCCGAUGAGAGUACCGCACGAAUAAGCAUCGGCUAACUCCGUGCCAGCAGCCGCGGUAAUACGGGGGAUGCGAGCGUUAUCCGGAUUUAUUGGGUUUAAAGGGUGCGUAGGCGGACAGUCAAGUCAGCGGUAAAAAUGCGGUGCUCAACGCCGUACGGCCGUUGAAACUGGCAGUCU